GUUGUAUAGUUAAGUGACUAAGCGUACAAGGUGGAUGCCUUGGCAAUCAGAGGCGAAGAAGGACGUGCUAAUCUGCGAAAAGCUUGGAUGAGUCGAUAAGAGGCGUUUAAUCCAAGAUAUCCGAAUGGGGAAACCCAGUAGAUGAAGAAUCUACUAUCAACAAGUGAAUUCAUAGCUUGUUGAGGCAAACCGGGAGAACUGAAACAUCUAAGUACCCCGAGGAAAAGAAAUCAACCGAGAUUUCGUCAGUAGCGGCGAGCGAAAGCGAAAGAGCCAGUAAGUGAUAACAGUAUGGUUAGGAGAAUGUGUUGGGAAGCACAAUCAAAGAGGGUGAUAAUCCCGUAUCUAAAAACCAUAUUGUGGUACUAAGCUAACGAGAAGUAGGGCGGGACACGUGAUAUCCUGUUUGAAGAAGGGGGGACCAUCCUCCAAGGCUAAAUACUCCUGAUUGACCGAUAGUGAACCAGUACUGUGAAGGAAAGGCGAAAAGAACCCCGGUGAGGGGAGUGAAAUAGAACCUGAAACCUUGUACGUACAAGCAGUGGG
rnacentral:rRNA from 1 species